UACGUAGGGCGCAAGCGUUGUCCGGAAUUAUUGGGCGUAAAGAGCUCGUAGGUGGUUUGUUGCGUCUGCCGUGAAAACCCGAGGCUUAACCUCGUGGCUUGCGGUGGAUACGGGCAGACUAGAGGUAGGUAGGGGAGAAUGGAAUUCCCGGUGUAGCGGUGAAAUGCGCAGAUAUCGGGAGGAACACCGGUGGCGAAGGCGGUUCUCUGGGCCUUACCUGACGCUGAGGAGCGAAAGCGUGGGGAGCGAACAGG
rnacentral:rRNA from 1 species